rnacentral:tRNA from 1 species
GAAGGUGUAGCUCAGUCGGUAGAGCACCUGCCUUUUAAGCAGGCUGUCAAGAGUUCGAAUCUCUUCACCUUCA